rnacentral:rRNA from 1 species
CCUACGGGGGGCUGCAGUGGGGAAUAUUGCACAAUGGGGGAAACCCUGAUGCAGCGACGCCGCGUGAGUGAAGAAGUAAUUCGUUAUGUAAAGCUCUAUCAACAGGGCAGAAAAUUACGGUACCUGAGUAAGAAGCCCCGGCGAACUACGUGCCAGCAGCCGCGGUAAUACGUAGGGUGCAAGCGUUAUCCGGAUUUACUGGGUGUAAAGGGAGCGUAGACGGCAUUGCAAGUCUGGCGUGAAAGGCGGGGGCUCAACCCCCGGACUGCUCUGGAAACUGGACGGCUGGAGUGCAGGAGAGGUAAGUGGAAUUCGUGGUGUAGCGGUGAAAUGCGUAGAUAUUAGGAGGAACACCAGUGGCGAAGGCGGCUUACUGGACUGUAACUGACGUUGAGGCUCGAAAGCGUGGGGAGCAAACAGGAUUAGAUACCCGGGUAGUC